UAAUGCAUGUUAAUUAUAAGAUGUAAUAAUGUUUUGAAAAGAUGUGUCCCGCCGAGUUUGUUGCCGGUCCCAUAUUGGGAUACCCUCCUCCAAUUGAGGGGGGAUUUAAAUCUUCUCGGGGCAGAGGUGUAGGGUUAGAGCCGGUGUAGCUUUAUUUGACGUUCAUAAGCAUAUUGUAAUAUACCUACUUAUAAAAUAAACUAUCUUUAUCACAUACUACCACAUAAUUGCAUGUUUGGUAAACAUGCAAGUUUGACGGCUGCCUGCGAAGCUGAUGGUCCGGGUUUCUAAUCCCAGUAAGGCCAUUUAUUUGUGUGAUGAACACAAAUAUUUGUUCCUGACACAUGGGUGUUUUCUAUGUAUAUAAGUAUGUAUACGUCACCUAGCACCCAUAGAACAAGCUUUGCUUAGUUUGGGGCUAAGAUGAUAAAAUAAAAAAAAAACAACGGGUUGCACUCCGGGAGUGCCGGCAGAAGUGAAAACUCAAUGACAUUGUAACAGUUUUUCGAUCAGGUCACGUGUCCGUCUUACGUCGUACGAAUCAUACGGUCACGUGACCUGUCGCGAGUUUAAAAAAAUUUCCCCAUCACAAAAAGUGCACACUGCACAGCGCCGCUAAAGAAGUUUUCACUUCAAUAAAAAACAUAAAAUCAGGAAGUUAAUAGUUGGCCAGGGGAACGUAACCAAUGACAACAAUGUAAAUUCACCCAUAAGUACUAUAUUGUUGGCCGCUCGUGAAAUGGUCCUUGAACCCGAUGUUUUGUUGUGAGUUUCGUGCCUUUCGUAUCUAGUCUGGUUGUAUGUAAUGAAGGCAACAAACCUCUUGGCGUUCAAUAGAGAUAUUAGAGAAUAUUUGUAAAAACUACAGUUAUUUCAGUGGAAUGACCAAUGUAAACUGCGUUCAGUUCUAAUGAAGAUGGUUAGGGAGUUAGAAGUUGUCGAUAAGGGCACCGAAUGAGCCCUCCAAGGGAUCUUUAUGGCUGUAAUGAUAUAUCGUUGGUCUAAGCGAGGUAGCACACGGCGCCUUUAUUCAGCAAGGCCGCAAUACAGGCGCGAUGUUGUGGCUGGUCAUAUACCUUCACACACGUAAACAUGAUUCUGCAUCGUAAUAUAGCAUCAAUAUAGCCGUGUUUCCGCAUCGAUAAAACCGCAAUACAUCAUCGAUAUGGCCUUGUUUCAGCGUCGAUACAGCCGCGAUGUAGAAUUCAUUCAGACGAGGAUGUCCCUAAUCGUAGAAUGUUGAAUUAGAACGUGGGUAACAUUCGUUAUUCCUCUAUAAAUAAUAAUAUAGUCAUAUCGUAGUUUUAAAAGUUGAAGCGUGAUUUACGACUUUAAGAUCAAUGUCUCCUUUUAAAAUAGAAUAAGCUGGUAGAACACCCGUCGUAAAAUAUAUAUUUUUACAUCCGUACUCUUGUUUCUAUGACUCAUUCUUAGAUUUAGGCUAAAUAUUCUAUGGAUCGGAUCUACCUUUCAUUCAUUAAUGGUCCGACAGAAACAAAAGAUGCCCACAUCUUACUUACAGUCAAGUGUAAAAAUAUGGGUGCAUACAACUUACUCAAAAAUAUGUUCCAUAGUUCUUAAUACGCUGACAUAAGAGCUAUGGGAUAUAUUUUUGAGUAUGAUGAGUGCACCCAUAUUUAUACUCUUGACUGUAGGAUAAUAAAACGUCACAGUACCUACACAAAUCUCAGGUCCAAAUCCCAGUCGGUUUAUAACGACUUUAAAAUGUUGUGAAUAUGAUCUCCUAGUUUUUUCGAUAAUAUUUCGAUUUGAUACUGUUUACUGUCACAAUUAUAAAUAAAAUGGUUACCAGCAUUAAUGACCAAAGAUCUGAAAAUGGAUUUACAUUGAAAUUUUAAUGUUGCUUAAAUUAUCCAAAUACGAAAUAUUGAUUUUUCUAUUGACCACUAAGCGUCACUUGCACCAUUCCACUAACUCGGAAUUAACCGGUUAAACCUGGUGUUAUCGUGGUUACCAGUACAAUUUGACACUGGGUUAUCGGUUUAACCGCUUAACUCCGGAUUAGAGGGACGGUGCAAGUGGCGCUAAAUAUACUUCGCAUGCAAUGGCCUCAAAUAUGCAUGUUAAUAAUAUUGUGUAAACAUUAUAUACUGUAAAUGUGCUAGUGAAUCUAAUCCUUAAGCAAACCUCCAUUGAUUGUAUAAGACGUGUAAAAAAAUGACGUAUUGUGUUUGAUAUAAGUUGUCAGAAAUGCUAAAACGUGUUGUUAAUUUCGUCGCAUUGCGUAUAUUCUGUCAUGACGACUCAGGAGCGCACGCGCAUGCCCAUCUAUAGAAAAUCCUACAUCUAAGGCGCCAUCAUAUUUUAUGGUUACUGAAUUUUCAAACGUCAACUUUUCGAACCAAAGUCAUCAUCUUCCUCGCGUUGUCCCGGCAUUUUUGCUACGGCUCAUGGGAGCCUGGGGUCCGCUUGGCAACUAAUCCCAAGAAUUGGCGUAAGCACUAGUCUUUACGAAAGCGACUGCCAUCUGACCUUCCAACCCAGAACCAGAGUGGCCACAUAAUAUACAGAGCCGCACAGCGCCAUCUACAAUACCUGUCAAGCACGAAAUAGUCUUACACUUUUUACAUGUAAACACAAUCAAUGAAUUUUUGAUGUUUUUGCGAAGGUAUAUCCAUAUUGCCUACUAGCGCAUUUACAAUGUAUUAAAGUAAAAAAUCAUGCUUCAAAUGACCCCAUUUCCUCCUACUUCAUGCUACCGUCAUCCGAUGUCCAGACCCCCCCCCCCUAAUUUGAAAUGACGUAAUUUAUGAAUAGCCCCAAGGCAGCGUUUUUUAUAUAAACAAUUUCAUCAUAAUGUAACAGUAAAUGUUGAUAUUCGAUACAAAAUGUACGUACGCGUACGAAAUAACUUUUACUCCUAAGACGACAGUCUCAUCCUCAUUUUAAUUUGUUUUUGUUUUGACAUUUAACAAUAACACUUGAACAAUGUGCAAUAUAAAUAGGUAUCAUUUUCAUUCUCAACCAGCCGUCCUUUUUGUUAUUCUUGUAUAUCGUCGGGUGACAAGCAAAAGUCACUAAGUACUAUCAAAAAAUUAAAGUAACAAUGCACUUUAUUGCACUUGUAACACGGUUUAUUGUCCAAUAAAUUCAAUGGUGUUAGUGUCUAUUGCUUGUCCCCCGAUGAUAUUCUUUUAAGAUUAUAGUAUGUGACAGUGUUGGGCGUAAUUAAUUACUCGUGUAAUUUAAUUAGUAAUUUAAUUACAUGUAAUUGAAUUACAAUGUAAUUGAAUUACAUAAAAUUUAAUUACAUGUAAUUAAAUUUUCUGUGUAAUUUGCAAUUGUAAUUACAUUAAUUAGUAAUUAAAUUACUCAAUUACUUUUCAUUUACCUUUUUAAUAAUAUGCAAAUAUGAACAAAUUUACUUGGAGUAAUUAUAAAGAAAAACUUUUAUGAAUUCCAUAAAUUCCAUUAUACGCUGGAUAACGUUAUAACAUAUUUUUUAUCCCUGGAAUCAUACCUUUACAGGGUACUAUGUGACAAACCACGUUGAAUAUGGCGGUUGGCGCUUACGUCGCGUAGCACCGCAUUAGUAUUGGGGCGCCGCUAAUAAUGACGUAAGCGCCGACCUAAGGUGCCUUUCGGGUUGGACUGUAGCAAAGGGGGGGCUGGGACUUAGAAUUUUUUUUGACAAAGUGGUGUCAUUAUGACACUAUUUUUAAAUGAUUGUAAUGUGUAGGUCACGUCAAAAUAAGCAUCUUAUACUGAAAAAACUUUUCUCUAAAAUAAAAAAUGGCUGAGUUAGACGCCUCCAAAGAUUGAUGUUUUUAAAGGGAGCUGGGACUUAGAAAAUUUUCAUCGCGAGUGGUGUCAUUAUGACAUAUAUUUUAAAUGAUUGUUAUAGAACACGUCAAAAUAAGCUACUUUUACUUGAAAAACUUUUUUCUAAAAUUUUAUUAAGAACUGUUUUAAAACCCGUUUUUUUUCAUUUCCUCAAAAAAAAAUUCUAAGUCCCAGAAACGGCCCCCCUUUUGAUACAGUCCGCUAUUUUCAAUUUUAGAAAAAAGUUUUUCAAGUAAAAGUAGCCUAUUUUAACGUGUUCUAUCCGUUACAAUCAUUUCAAAUAUAUGUCAUAAUGACACCACUCGCGAUGAAAAUUUUCUAAGUCCCAGCUCCCUUUAAAAUCAUCAAUCUUUGGAGGCGUCUAACUCAGCCAUUUUUUAUUUUAGAGAAAAGUUUUUCCAGUAAAAGGUGCUUAUUUUGACGUGAUCUACACAUUACAAUCAUUUAAAAAUAGUAUCAUAAUGACACCACUAAAUCAGAAAAAUAUUCUAACUCCCAGCCCUCCCUUUGCUACAGUCCAACCAAAUCAACCAAAGUUAACAUUGACAAUGUUGCUUAGUCAAAUUUAAAACCAUUCAAAAUGUUCAUCUGAUUUUGGAAAUAAAGAUGAUCAAUAACUUGCAUUCUAUAAAAGUAAUUGUAAUUCAAAAAAGUAAUUAAAUUACAAAUUUCAAUUACAAAAUGUAAUUAAUAAUUUAAUUACUAAUUACAUUUUGCAAUUGUAAUUAGUAAUUAAAAUUUUAAUUACUCUCCACAUGUAAUGGAAAUUAUUUGUUGGAAUUACAUUUUGUAAUUGCAAUUGUUAAUUAGUAAUUCAAUUACUUUUUGCCCAACACUGGUAUGUGAUAGCGUUCCACGGAGACACUGAGUAAGUCUCUCAGGCUAUUGUUAUUUACAAUUUACCAACAGUUUGUUUUCAUAAAUACAUGAAGCAUUCAAAGCGCUAUAAGGUUUAUAAAUUAUGAUUUUGAACUUUAAAGCAAAGUGAUUGGGUUCAAUUUAGGUCACCCGUCUGCCCGUUGAAGGGUUAAAUCCUACUAAUGAAACUAAAAAACCUUUGAAAAUGUCAACUACUAAGCCAAAUGAGCUUACACUAAACUAAAAGUAGGUACAUGUAAGCUUUUUAUUUUGUCUUUGCUUACUAAGAAAAAAAAAGAUAUACAUACUUAUACGUAAUUAAUUUGGCUGCCAAUUCGAUGGUAUUUUAUCAGUUUAAAGGCGCAAUAAUAAAUUUCCUCGUAUGAGGCCUAUUUUAGUGCUUUUGAGUAUAAAAAUUCAAAAGUAGAAUUUAUUUUCUAAUUGUACAAGUACGCCGCACAUACAAGUCACGAAAAAACUCAGAUACAAGCUUGUACUGUUUCCGUGGAACCUCCCACCCUACUCUAUUACAGAUGUAGGUACCGAUGAAGCCUUACAAACCCCCAGAAAGACGUAAAAUAUCUAUUUAUGGUACAUCGAUAUGCGAUCUGUGUGUACAAAGGCAGAAAACGAUAUUUUUGUAAUAACGAACAGUUAUUGUGAAAUGAUAUUAUUAUUACGUAUAAUAAAUAUUGUCUGAUUGACCAAA